GACGAACGCUGGCGGCAUGCCUAAUACAUGCAAGUCGAGCGAACAGAUGAAGUGCUUGCACUUCUGACGUUAGCGGCGAACGGGUGAGUAACACGUAAGGAAUCUACCUAUAAGCGGGGGAUAACAUUCGGAAACGGAUGCUAAUACCGCAUAAUAUCUUCUUCCGCAUGGAAGAAGAUUGAAAGACGGCUCUGCUGUCACUUAUAGAUGACCUUGCGGUGCAUUAGUUAGUUGGUGGGGUAACGGACUACCAAGACGAUGAUGAAUAGCCGAACUGAGAGGGUGAUCGGCCACAUGGGGACUGAGACACGGCCCAAACUCCUACGGGAGGCAGCAGUAGGGAAUCGUCCGCAAUGGGCGAAAGCCUGACGGAGCAAUGCCGCGUGAGUGAAGAAGGCCUUCGGGUCGUAAAACUCUGUUAUAAGAGAAGAACAAAUUGUAGAGUAACUGCUACAGUCUUGACGGUAUCUCAUCAGAAAGCCACGGCUAACUACGUGCCAGCCGCCGCGGUAA
rnacentral:rRNA from 1 species